UGGGACCGGGUGAGAAGAUUUCCGGUAGCGGCCUCUCGGCGCGGCCGGAGCCGGGUUGGGGAUCGGCCGCUGGAGGCACCGGGAAUGGUGCGGGAGCGCUCGGUGCUGUCAGUGACAGAGAGGGAGAGCCGAGGAUCAAGAAAGUGCAUCAGCCAUGUUGACUUUAGCAAAAAAACUGAAGCGUGAAGAGGGCAUGAAGGGGAGAAGCAACACAAAUCCAGGGACGGACUCAUCCCGUCGCGUGUCCAUUAGAGAUAAGCUGCUCAUCAAAGAGGUUGCAGAACUUGAAGCAAAUCUUCCCAGCACGUGUAAAUUGGAUUUUCCUGAUGCAAACAAACUUUAUUCCUUCCAACUGAAUGUCAUGCCAGG